ensembl:lncRNA
CACACACUUGGAAAGCUACUCCCAGUGGUUGAGUUCCUGAGGACUCUGUGGUAUCAAAUCAGAUAGUCUAAAAGCAAGAGCUCUAACAAAUUAUAUUCUCUCUUCAUAGAAUAGUAUCAUAGAAUCAUCAAAUCAAGUUGGAAGGGACCCUUAGAGGCCAUGUGGUUCAACUUCCUUGCACUGAACAGAGACACACACAGCUCAGCCAGGUUGCUCAGAGCCCCAUCCAGCCUGACCUUGGAUGUUUCCAGGGACAGAAUAUCUACCACCUCUCUGGGCAACCUGUGCCACCAUUAUUGUAAAAAACUUCUUCCUUAUGACCUAUCUAAAUCUCCCUCUUUUAGUCUGAAACCAUUUCCUCUUGUCCUGUCACAACAAACCCUGCUAAGGAGUGUCUCCUUCCUGCUUUCUUUCUGGCCCCCUUUACAUUCUGAAAGGCCACUCUCAGGUCUCCCUGGAGCCUUCUCUUCUCCAGGUUGAACAGCCCCAGCUCUCUCAGCUGGUCCUUGUAAGGGAGGUGUUCCACCCCUUGGAUCAUUUUUGUGGCCCUCCUCUGGAUGCAUUUCAAUAGGUCCACAACUCUCCUGUACUGAGGACUCCACAUCUUGACACAGUGCUCCAGGGGCUUUUGUCAUCAUUACAAAGUGCCAGACGGAGCGUGCAUGCUCAAGAAGUGUGCAGAGCCAGGAGGCAGUGCUGCAGGCACCGCUCCCCCUGGGGGAUGUUUCUUCGAGCUGAGGAAUCCCAGUAACCAGAUUAAUAUAACCCAGCCAUUCAGAAAGCACGAGCUUUACCAGAUUUUCCUCCCUUCCCCACCCCACUUUCUUAUUUGAAGUUUUGCAGACAGGAUAUUUACUUUUCCAGCUGAUUCCUGGUGUGGAGGUAAUUUGGGCAGCGGGAUAAAUGAUUAUUCUGUCUGAAGAAAUGUGUGCCUUAGAAUGAGCCCACUAUCUUCCCAGCAAAAGCUUACACAAAGGCAAUUUCUUUACUGUGAGGAAAAGCACAUUUUGACCGGGUGGCUGUCCUGCUGUAAAACUGGAGGGGGACGCAUUGCUGUGGGUCUGUAUGAUACGUGUGGUGGGAAUCAGCCCUGCAAGUGAGGACUGACUUUUUCUGACUGCACCUGGGCAGCUUGUCCCUGCAGCUCAACAUCACCAUGAUUUCAUAAUGGGAGACCCAGCUUUGGCUACCCCUCUCAGUAUAUACUGUCAUCUUUUCCUCUGGCCACGGUGUUGCACUGUAAAUCUCUCAUCCAUAGCUUGUCUGUAGGCUUUCUUCUCUCACUUCUCCUUCAUGGAAGAGUGAUCUCCACGCUUUGCUGCUGCCUCCUGCGCUCUGUAACUGGGCUGAGAUUUUUAAGGCUUUUUGGAUAUGAACUGUAUUUCUUCCAGGCUUUCACCUGGAAGUCACCCAGCAAAGUUCUUUUUGCCAACCUAUAUUCAGCUGUUAUUCAUUCACCUUCUCGUUUUGCUGUUCCAAAAAACACAGGCGGUCAAUAUGUAUUUUGUAACAUUGCCUCAGUGUCUGCUAUUAGAGAAUCAACAAAGCCUACAGACCACUUUAAAACAAAUAGGUCCAGGAAACAUUCUGCCAAAGGCACAGCAAGGAAAAACCCUCUGCAAAACUCUUUUGCUUACAACCCCACUGCCUGCAGACUAUGCCAGCACUUGGGGUUGUCCAACAGCCCAGUGAUCCAGGAGUGCCCAGAGGUCUCCUCGGGUGCUGUGCAGGGAUUUAGCAAGGAAGAGUACUCUUUGCAAGGAUCCUGGAUGGGACCCUGCAGUGACUCUGACAGAUGUAUGGCUUUGGUGGUGUCCCUGAAGGACAGUAGAAAUUAUCGGGGCUGUGCUGAGUAUACCCACAUGUCACUGAUGACUUGAGACAUAGAAGAGGUGUGGGCUCUUCCCUUUGCCAUCAUCACAGGGUGUCACAUUGCCAUAGAUAGGAGCUUGGAAAAGGACAACAAGGUGUGCUUGCAGCUUUAUUCCCACAACUGUUUGAGAAAAUGGGAAAUGGUCAUUGGGAACAAAAAGACUCCCCAGUUGUCUCACUUCACAUUAGAGGAAAAACAACCACUGCACGGAACAAGGCUGGUAAGGAGCUCUGUUCCUCCGGUGAAUUCCCCUCUGUACCUUUGCUUCAUGAAUAAAUUGAUGUUGUAAUGAAAC